rnacentral:lncRNA from 1 species
UGAAGUUUCACUUGAUGUCAAUGAGUUAGCCAAUUCUUUGAGGCAGCAAUUGAAGAUCAACAAGGCUUUCUCCCCGGUACGCUGCAUCUAUAGAGUCCCCGAACGAUUGCGGAAGUUAAAUGCAGAGGCAUAUACACCUCGAGUAGUCUCAAUAGGCCCUAUUCACCAUGGUAAGGAAAAUCUAAAAGCUAUGGAAGACCACAAAAUAAUGCACCUGCAGCAGUUUCUCGGACAGAAUUUAUUAGUAAGUGUGGAGGACUUAGUUUAUGUUAUCGAGGAGAAUGAAGCAGCAUUACGUGAUUGUUAUGCAGAGACCAUUAGUCUUAGGCCUUGUUUGUUUCCCGGAAAGUAGUUUCCGGGAAACCAUUUUCCAAACUUUCCUGUGUUUGUUUGUCAUUAGGAAAGUUGGUCAGCGGAAAACAAUUUCCGGUCAGCGGAAAACACUUUCCGGUCAACGGAAAACACUUUCCGGUCAACGGAAAACACUUUCCAGACAAUUUUAGUCAAAAAAAAAAAUUGACUUGGUUUUCAGGAAAAUGUUUUCCUUUUAGCCGUGUUUGUUUUCCGGAAAGUGAUUUCCAGGAAAGCACUUUCCAAACUUUCUUGUGUUUGUUUGCCAGUAGGAAAGUUGGUCAAUGGAAAACACUUUCCAGUAAAAGGAAAAUUUGGCUUAGUUUUCAGGAAAGUGUUUUCCUGAAAAAUUUGAGGGGAAAACACUUUCCGGAAGUUGUGAAAAAUUUAGAAAUGUCAUUAUUUGCUGAUUAUAUCAAAUUUGAUCCUCAAACUUUUGAUUGCUAUAUAUAUUUUGUUUUGAAUAUUUAUUUUUCAAUUUCAUCUUUUAAAAUUUUAUUUUUAUAUUAACUUUGGUCCUUAUUUUUAUAAUUGCUAUUUGCUUUUUUCUUAUCAUUUCUUUAUUGAAAUUUUUUAUUUAUCAAAUUUGAUCCUCAUUCUUUUGAUUGUUACUUAUUUUAUUUGAAAUAAUUUAUGAAAUGUUGAUUAUUAUUAUUUUAAUUUCUUCAUUUUUCAUUUUUCUUUAAUUUUUUAAUGAUUAUUAAAAGAGACAUCAAUGGAAUAGAAAAUUUGUUUCUUUGCAAUACCUAGAGACCCACCAAAGAAAAGCAGACAAAGUUCAGGAAUAUUGAAAGAAAAGAAACUGUAAAAAUAGAAGGGAACAUGUAAUUGUAUAUCAUGUAAUUGUAUGCACAAGUUUGGGAGAUGAAGAUUUUCUUUCUUGUUUUGCACAACUUCUAUUCAAGAAAAUAGGCCGAACUUUGUCUCGCAUACUUGUAAUUGUAUGCAAGUAGACAAUUGAAAAUAGGCCGCGUAAUACUUUUUAUAAUUAAUGCUUCGUGUUUAGAAAUAUCUGUGAUGACACGUAUUUUACUCUUAAAAAAUAAAUGAAAUUUGCUUUUUCGUUUUUCUUUUGAGAAUAACUAUCAAAUAAAGUUACAUCUUUAAGCACUCAAAAUUAAAUGAAAUAAAGAUUAUUUUUCAAUCAUUAUGUCUCACAAGAUUUGCUAAAAUGAGGUAAUGUAGACUAAUAUUUGGUCUAUUGGCUAUGGAAGAGUAGCAAUUCUUGAGAUCGCUAAGAAUUUUAGAACUUGUGGGGUUAUUUUGUAAUUUUUAAAAUUAUUGGGGUGUUUAUUACAUUUGAGAAACAAGAGGAAUUGUUAUGAAAAUUUUGGGUGGCUUUGAAAUAUUUAGUGUACAUUCUAACAUUUAUGAAAAUUAUAUGGUUGUUUUGUAAUUUUAGAAUAUUAACCGGUCUGGUUUUUUCAGAUUAUUUUUUUUAAUGAAAAUAACUUUUCAUGGUGAAACUUCAAGAAGCUCAUCUAGACUCUAUUUGGGUUGAUUUUUGCCUCAUUAUAAUUUUUUUCUGAACAACAGGAUCGCCUUGGAAAGCUUAAUGGAAUAUGGUUUGGCUUUGUUUCAACUGGGGAAAUAUACAAAUUCCCAGCAUCGGAUUCCGAUAAAAAAGCAUGUUCAGCGUGUAUCAGUAUCUGUCAGGGAGUGCGACUGCAGAAGUUAUUAUAUGGUUGCGCGAAAAGGGAAAAUCAGCAGUGAUUCAGCUAGCACUCGUCAACUCCAAAGCAAUGCAUACCCUGUUACUCAAACAGAGGAUAUAAACGUAGCCCUUGUCAUCCAAGAUAAUAUUAUUAAUGCGGUCCCAGUUGUUCAACCAGUGCCUUCACUCGUUGUAACACAUGAUCCAGAAGAGGAGGAGCUUGCAUGGAUGGAGAAUAGCUUAGUAGGAGUGAUAAGUGAAGGUGUUAAUUAUCAAGAUAUCAGGAAAGGCUUGCUUUGUAACGGAGUUCAAUUAACGGGUUUUCGUUUUAUGGGUGCAUCACAAGCUUUGAUCUCUGAUAACGAUGCAUGCAGUUUCAAUCCUUUUCCGCAAUAUUUCAAUGGAAAAUCUUAUCAACGUCGAAAAUUUCUACUUUUCUGGUGUAGUUGAAUUCUAGAUCUUCGAAGAUCUGAACAAGUACUACCGAAAGCGGGGACACAAAUGGAAGGCAUUCUUCGAAGAUCUGUUGUAGCAGCUGCUGUUCUAGUCAUGCUCAUAUCAUACAGACAGCGUGUUCGAUCGUUCAAGUUGUUUGAUUAUGCUAUCUCAAUUGUUUCGUAUGACUUCCACUCUGUGUACCUCACUAUCUAGUCAUUGUUAGCUUCUUAAAUUUACCUGCUGUAUUUCUCAACGAAGAAGCAUCAAGAAAUUUUUUAAUAAAUUAUGCUCUAUAAUGUGCCAUGAGUGUUUGCUUUAUGCUAUGCUUCAAACGAGGUUUAUAAUAGAAUAUUGUUAACGUGCGAACCAUUGUAAUUGAAAUGCUUUAAAGCCACUGUAGAAAAUGCUUCCACCUUUGAUGCAUUUACUAUAUCCUAUACUUGAAACGAGGGUUGAGAAUAUAUAUUAUAUUGCUGAAUAUUCCCUGUAAUUUUUAACAUUUAUUCUAAUCUAAGACUUCAAGCCCGAAAUUCUAAUAUGUUGACAAGAGUACUAUAGAUUAAGCAAUGUGCUCUUCAAGAGAGUAUAGUACUAGUACUCUUCUUCUUGCUGUAAAUGCCGGACUUAAAUUUGAAUAGAAAGAUCAAACAAGUGUUUGGGAAUCUUAUCCUUUGCUUGCCAUUGUAGCAAUUGUAAAGGAGCAAUAGAACAUUUUUGGAAUUUUCAUAUUAAAGAGGGAGAGUCUAGUACCAUUCUUGGCAGAUCUUUUUGGACGCUGGAGGCAGGUUGACAACGAGCAAAACUUCUACAACUGCCUGUAAGUUUCUAUCCCUGUAGUUUAAAAUUAUCCAACGUUUUCACUUCUAUCCUGAUAGUUUAUUUACAACUAAAUAACUGUGUGAUAAUCUGAUGCUUUUCAUAUUAUAUAUAUUUUUUAAUUUUUCUCUUAUUAUUUCCUCUCAAGUCUUUAUGCAUGUCAUAGUAUCUUACAACAAAAAUCCGAAACCUAAAAAACUGAAAAACCAAAAUUAAAAAGAAUUAGAUAUUUCAUAGUUAAGAGUAAUAUUAACAGAAUUUUAUGAAAACUAUAAGAGUAGUAGUAGAAGUAGAAUAUUAAUGAAUCUAUUACAAGGAAAAUAAUUGAAGUUCACCCUUUUAUCUUACAGCAAGACACCACUAAUUUGCAUUCCAUAAUAAAACAAGAGUAAAAAGCUCGUCACUAGAAACCCCUUGAAAACUAACACGGAUAGAAAUAACCACAAAUUAAGAUUGUAAGGUAAUCAGGGAAGACUAUACAAAAGAAGCUUGAGAAAGCUUAGCCCUACACAAUCUCAUAAAAGAAGGAAAAAUACUUUAAAUUUUAUUCUCAAUAAUCAAAACUUAACAUUACACCUUUCCAUCCCAAAGGUGAUAAACCAUAUAAAAAAUCUCAAUAAUGAUAAAAAUUUAUUAUUUGCUGCAAACUAAAAUAAAUUAUCUCAAUAAAAUGGGCUUCAAUUAAUUAUUUGAUUUCUUGCGAAUAUUAUUUUGGUAUUUCAGUUUGUUUUUAUCAAUAGUGAUUAAUUAUACGUGCUGGUUCUGAACUAAGCAAGCGAUUAUCUGAGUUCAAUAACAGGACGUAAAUUGUUGGAAGAUCAAGUACUGAUCAGCCGAUAAUGGAUCAGAGCGAUGAAGUUUCACUUGAUAUCAAUGAGAUAGCCAAUUCUUUGAGGGAGCAAUUGAAGAUCAAGGAGGCUUUCUCCCCGGCAUGCUGCAUCUAUAGAGUCCCCGAACCAUUGCGGGAGUUAAAUGAGAAAGCAUGUGCACCUCGAGUAGUCUCUAUAGGCCCAAUUCACCAUGGUAAAGAAAAUCUAAAAGCUAUGGAAGACCACAAAAUAAUGUACCUGCAACAAUUUCUUGAGCAGAGCGAGGUAAGUGUUGAGGAUUUAAUUAACAUUAUCAUGGAGAAUGAAACACAAUUACGUGAUUGUUACGCAGAGACCAUUGAUCUUAGAACGAAAGAAUUCGCAACAAUGAUCGUACUGGAUGCUGUCUUCAUUAUUAAGCUCUUACUGAACAUGAAGUACAUUUAUGAAACUAGACCUAAUGAUCACAUUUUCAAUCGUCCAUGGAAGUCAUUUGACGUGAUGUGGGAUAUGUGCUUGCUUGAAAAUCAGCUUCCAUUCUUCAUCCUCGAGAAGUUGUUUGAGCUAUCCAGCGUAGCUGCCAAUCCUGAUAAUUGUACCCUUAUUGAGCUUACCUGUCUGUUUUUUCACGAAAUAAUGGAUGAAUGGGUAAAAGAAGACCGUUGGAAAAAACUCGAUUCCUAUGAAGUCCUGCAUUUCGUUGACUUUAUAAGAAAGUGUCAGCAGCCAACGGUGCGGUAUCAUCAAGAGCGAGGAACAGGUAUUUUAAGCGCACCCACUGCAACGGAGCUCCAUCAAUCUGGAGUGAGGUUCAAGCAUCCAGAAAAAAGUUCACUAUUAAACGUAAGAUUCAGUGAUGGGAUUCUAGAAAUUCCACAGCUAAGAAUACAUGGCCGUACAGAAAUCUUAUUCAGAAAUCUCCAGGCCUUUGAGCAAUGCCAUUAUAUGUCUAAGGAUAAUUUCGUAGGUGACUAUAUUACUUUCAUCAGCUGCCUUGCCAGUGCUCCUAAAGAUGUGAAACUACUUGCUCAUAAUGAGAAUUUGAAAAGUCUGCUAAACAGUCACGAAGAUGUGUCAAAUCUCCUUUACAAACUUCAAAAAGAAAGUUAUGUCAGUGCAGAUGGUUUUCUUUCCGGUGUCUGCGAAGAGCUGACUUUACAUUGCAGAAAGCGGAGGCACAAGUGGAAGGCAACCUUGAAGCAGGUUUAUUUCAACAAUCCAUGGACUGGCAUCUCUGUUGUUGCUGCUUCUUUUCUCCUUAUUCUUACUAUCACACAGACGGUGUGCUCUAUCCUUCAAUUGCGAUAAAUAUUUAAUCCCUUUGUACUGUCCCCCCCCACCCCCCAAUUAUGAUUGCAAUGUAAUUAAAAUCCGAAGUAAUAAAAGAACGGAUCUUUUUCGUUUCUUGUUUUCCUGAUCUUGUUGCAUAAUAAAUUAACCCCCCCUCCCAAGGAAAAUAAUAUGCGACCAUCUCCUUUCCUCUAUAACACCUAAAGAACCAGCCGUCCCUGCCAAAACACUUACACAGCACCGAAAUCCAACCACACCACUACUCUGUCACCAUCAACCUUGCCUCAUACACCACUGUCUCAGAUUUUCCUAGAGCGAUUCACCUCUUGGUUAUAUUAUCAAACCCUCCGCAGAACUUUUAACAAAUAUGGCGUAGUAAUUGUUAUGUACAUAUCACGACGACACAACGGAAGAAACUGGAGGUCUGGCUUUGUCACAAUGCAAACAGAUUCUGAACAACAGGAUCGCCUUGGAAAGCUUAAUGGAAUAUGGUUUGGGUCUUAUCGUCUACGUGCAAAUUUGAAGCGGUUUCAACAGGGUAAUACAGAUUCCCAGCAUCGGAUUCCGAUAAAAAAGCAUGUUCAGCGUGUAUCAGUACCCAGUCAGGGAGUGCGACUGCAGAAGUUAUUCUAUGGUUGCGCGAAAAGGGAAAAUCCAGCAAGCACUCGUCAACUACAAAGCAAUGCAUACCCUGUUACUCAAACAGAGGAUAUCAACGUAGCCCUUGCCAUCCAAGAUAAUAUUAUUAAUGCGGUCCCAGUUGUUCAACCAGUGCCUUCACUCGUUAUAACACAUGAUCCAGAAGAGGAGGAGCUUGCAUGGAUGGAGAAUAGCUUAGUAGGAGUGAUAAGUGAAGGUGUUAAUUAUCAGGAUAUCAGGAAAGGCUUGCCUUCUAAUGGAGUUCAAUUAACGGGUUAUGGGUGCAUCGCAAGCUUUGAUCUCGUUCAAUAAACACAAGUACCCAACACUCAACGUUUCUGGGUUCUUUAACACAUAGUAGAGCAGCAAUAAAAACAAGUACCCAACGCACAUUACAUCCUAUGAUUUUACGGCGAAGGAAAAGGAAGGUUAAAGUCUUUACGCCAACUGGCAGCCUUAAACAAGCUAUUGCAGAAGAGGUAGAGGAUUAUUCAGGCUCACUGGACUCUAGCAUCAGACAAGGAAACGCUCGCUACAUCACCUCAGAGACGUGCCUGUAUCAGAGAAGACUGGGAAAGAUGAUGAGGUCCAAGAGAUGUUAAAUGCUGGCCAGGUUCUGGGAUUUAGAAGUGACGAUCUGGCGGUUCUAACUGCAGACAUUGCUAAGCAAUUGGAUAGCGAAAUUGGCGAUUGGUAAGGAUUGAAUAACCUUAUUUAUACUGAUUCUCUUUUGGAAUAGAUGUGGACUGGGCACGUCUGAUAAGAGAUUUGUACACCUAGUUUUGCUUAUGCAAUGUGGAACGAUCCUAAUGUUAUUAAAGCUGGUGUAAUUUUGGUAAUGUGGAGUGAAGAGAAUUUUAAGGUUGACACUAUUGGAUUUUAUUUAUCACGUGACUAUAAAUAUAUAUAUAUAUGAUUGAAAAUACACAAAUUUUCUAUUUUAUUUUUUUGAAAAUAAAAUAAAAAAAAAAUAUAUAACAUGGAAAAAAUAAAUAAGUCUUCUAUAUUUCUUUAUUGAUAAAAUGUUGACACUUGAUAUGAGAUAUUUAAGAUAUCUUAUUAUAAAUAAAAUAUCUUGAUAAUAUCUUGUUAUAAAUGCAAUCAAUAAAAUUAUGCAUGCUUCAUCUAAUGUUGUUGGCUGGCUUAAUUUACGCUGCUUUGAGUUUAAACUUAAUUUUCUAUGAACAUUUUUGGUGUUCUUCCUCUGGCUUUUCUCGCUUCACUAAACGCUACGUACUGUUACUUGGGUUGUUUUAGUGAAUUGUAGCCUUCUACUAUUCAUCACUCCAGCUUGUCAUUGUAUAAGAGAGUAUGCUACCGUUCAGUUGAUUUUUUGGUACGAUAAUUCUUUGUGAUUUAUUGUAAAUGAUUAAAAAUGUUAUUAUAUAAAAUAAAACAUAUGAAUGUAUAUAAUUAUUAUAAUUGAUUUUCAUAAUUUUUAUCUAUUUAUUUUAUCAUAACUCAGUAAUAAGUAAUAAAAUGAAGCACAGCAUUGAGUACUUUUUAAUAUUGGGAAUUUGACAAAUAUGCUAAGUAGUAACCAAGCAGUGUCAGAUCUUUUUAAGAGUCCCAGCAAAGAAAAUAUUUGCUCUGCUAAUAAUUUUCUUUUGGGUGUCUGUGAAGAGCUGAAUUCACAUUGCAGAAAGGCAACCUUGAUGCAAGUUUAUUUCAACAAUCCAUGGACUGGCAUUUCUGUUGUUGCUGCUUCUUUUUUUUUAUUCUUAAUGUCAUACAAACAAUAUGCUCUAUCAUUCAUAAGUGAUAAAUAUUUAAUCCCUUUGUAUUUUCUUUUCUUUUUAUGAUUUCAGUAUACUCAAAAUCCUAAGCAAUGACUGUCCCUUUCAUUUCUUGUUUUCCUGAUCAUAUUUCUGAAUAAAUUAAUCUCCCUUCUAAGGCAAUAUAACUUGUUUUCCUGAUCUUAUUUCUGAAUAAAUUAAUCUACAUCGGCAAUAUAACUUGGAAAUUAAUCUUUUAGAGAUAUUAUUAAAUAAAUUUUCAUGAAUAAUUUUAUAUUAUUUUGUAUUCGCAAAUGAAAUAGCACAGAUGACACAGAUUUCUAGUUAGGUAUAACCCACUUACGGAUUUGAUACAUAACUAUAGAGAUAAAACUUCCACAAAACUUUUAUACAAGUCUUGCAUUAAACUUUAUAGGUUUCUAGCUUUAAGAGAAACGUUUUUUAAAACAUCAUUAUCACGACAGCUUUCAUGAAUUAAUUAUGGAUUUUGGUGAUGACUCGUGUCAUUAAAGUCAGGUAGCAUCGUUCGGCUCAAUAUAUAUUUAUUAAUAACAUAAUAAUAUAAUGAUAUUAAAAUAUUAUUUGUGAUUUUUGAAUUUUCAAAGGGGAAUUUUAAAAAUAUUAUUAUUUGCUUUGUGGAAAGUCAUGCCAGAAAAACAAUACCUGCGGUCACAGUCCUCUCCUAUAUAUCAAAUAACCCACCGUACCUAAAAAUAAGCUUUGUGGAGAGUCAUGUCAAUUAUUCAUAGAAAUUGGCAUGACUUUUAUACAAGUGUUGCAUUAAACUUUAAUAAUGGAGAUCCUAUAUUUUACAUGGAAAUUUUAGUUAGUGUUUUUUAAACUGGUCUGAUAACUAAUCCGGUUUAAAAUUCAGAUUAUGGGUUUUGAUUAGGUCACCUGAGUUAAUUUUAUUUUUUUUAUAAAUUAAAAUGAUUAUGUUUUGGUAAAUAAUAAUAAUAAUAAUAAUAAUCAAUGGUGCAACCGAAUUUUUUUAAAAGCAGAAUGUGGAAGGAAAGUCGAGAAUCUUGCGUCCUUUCUCCAAUAAUUGUUCAAUAGACAGAGUUCCUAAACGAUUACGUGAGUUAAAUGAAAAGGCUUACACACCUCAAGUGAUCUCCAUUGGCCCCCUUCACUACGGAAAAGAAGAGCUCAAAGAAAUGGAAGAGCAUAAGAGACUGUACCUGAGGGAAUUUCUUGAAUUGAGCGAGGUAAAUGUGAAGGAUUUUAUUGCAGCUAUUGCAGAAAGGGAGACUAGAUUGCGUAAUUGUUAUGCAGAAACCUUUGAUAAUCUAAGUGUAGAGGAAUUUGUGGAAAUGGUGAUGCAGUGGAUUUCUCCUUUCUCAUUAUCUUUGUCGCACGUCAGAAAAUCCGUGCGGCAUCGAGCUUGGCGAUUUUUCAUUUCUCGUUUUGCUUUGAUUGGUUCGUUGGAGUCGCCACCUAAUAUUUAAUUGAGGGCUACUAGAAAACUUGGGUGUACUGGUCUCGUCAGAGAUUCACGGGUAAGGAACUAGUUGUGGUUAAAAAAGAUAUUAGCACCCUAAAGUACCCUAUCUGAGAUAAACUGCUUUGUAGACUUGAUGCGUUAAAGAAGUUUUAAAAAUUCUGUUCUUUUAUCGAAUUUUAGAAAUACGACUUACGUGUAAGUUUAUAAUUCUUUAUCCGUGAGCAAAUCAAAAUAUUAAAUUCUUCUUUAUUCUUGCAAUUUUAUCAUAAAAAAAAACAUUCAUAAGCAAAAUACAAACCACACAUUCACUUUCAUGCUUCGUGGACUUGAUGUGAUUUUAAAAAUAAAAUUUUAGCCAAAUUCUAAGGCUUUAAUAAAUUAGUUAUUAAUUCCCAGAAUAUAUGUAGAAACAUGUUCUUAUAUUUUCAUAGAAAAUACAAUAUGAUUUUAUUUGUCAUUUAGAUAUUUGUGCAUAUAAAUUAAAAUAUUAAAUUUAUUUUUUUUUGUCUUUUGAUUCAAUAACAUACAUUAAAAAAAAUACAAACAUACACACACAUCUCUUUUUCUAUUAUUAUUUUUUUUUCUUUUUUCUUUUUUACAUCCACACUUCAAAAUAUAAAUUCAAAACAACUAAAUAAAAAUUACAUUAAUCAAUUUAAAAUUUAUAAAAAUAGCCCCUAAAACUCUAGGAAUUGCAGAAAAAGCCUUUUGCACCCACAGGAACAGUGGCGGUGUGUCUCUCCACACGCCCCGUCAUUGGCAACGCGUGGUGUCACAUGCCGCCGCAAAAAUCCAAGAAGAACAGGUGGGUCUUGCUGAAAAAUGUUCUUCCUGGAAAGAUGUUCUCUGAUAUCCGAGGUAGCAAUAUUGACCGCAUAUUCAAUAAACCAUGGAUGAGAGAAGAAAUAAGAUUUGAUUUGUUGUUGCUUGAAAAUCAGCUUCCAUUCUUCAUUGUUGAUCGAGGACUUGUUCACACUAUCCAAAAUACUGCACCGUCAUUUGAUUUGUUCUCAUGAUCUCUUUUUAUCUUCAUGGGAUUCAUGGGUGCCAAUGGACAUUUUGAAGAAAAACAAUUUGUCUGAAGUACAGCAUUUUUUGUUGACUUUCUAAGAAUCUGUCAGCAGCCAGCAGAGUAAUUUUUAACAUUUAUUCUAAUCUAAGACUUUAAGCCUGAAAUUCUAAUAUGUUGACAAGAGUUCUAUAGAUUAAGCAAUGUGUUCUUCAAGAGAGUAUAGUACUAGUACUCUUCUUCUUGCUGAAAAUGCCGGACUUGAAUUUGAACAGAAAGAUCAAAUCAGUCAGAAUUCCAAUUCCAGUAGCAUUUUAAUUCUAUUCAAAGUUUGUUAAUAUAUAAUUAAUUAAAUAAUUUUAUUUAUGAUUUUACAAUUUAAAUUUACAAUCUAAAUUUAUAUUAUAAAUUACAUGUCAUGUCAAAAAACAUUUUUGACAACCUUGAUUCACACAAGUGUUUGGGAAUCUUAUCCUUUGCUUGCCAUUGUAGCAAUUGUAAAGGAGCAAUAGAACAUUUUUGGAAUUUUCAUAUUAAAGAGGGAGAGUCUAGUACCAUUCUUGGCAGAUCUUUUUGGACGCUGGAGGCAGGUUGACAACGAGCAAAACUUCUACAACUGCCUGUAAGUUUCUAUCCCUGUAGUUUAAAAUUAUCCAACGUUUUCACUACAAUAUAUCCUGAUAGUUUAUUUACUAGCUACUAAAUAACUUUAUGAUAAUCUAAUGCUUUUCAUAUUAUAUAUAUUUUAAUUUUUCUCUUAUUAUUUCCUCUCAAGUCUUUAUGCAUGUCAUGGUAUCUUACAACAAAAAUCCGAAACCUUAAAAACUGAAAAACCAAAAUUAAAAAGAAUUAGAUAUUUCAUAGGUAAGAGUAAUAUUAACAGGAUUUUAUGAAAACUAUAAGAGCAGGAGUAGAAGUAGAAUAUUAAUGAAUCUAUUACAAGGAAAAUAAAUGAAGUUUACCCUUUUAUUUUACAGCAAGACACCACUAGUUUGCAUUCCAUAAUAAAACAUGAGUAAAAAGCUCGUCACUAGAAACCCCAUGAAAACUAACACAGAUAGAAAUAACCACAAAUUAAGAUUGAUUUCAUGCAAACUAUUAUUGUGGUUGUUUUCAGAAUAUUUUUUUUUCAUGACUUAGUGUUAGCAUAUACGUGCUGUUUCUAAACACCAGCGAUUGUAUCAGUUCAAUCACAGAUAAUGGAUCAGAGCGAUGAAGUUUCACUUGAUGUCAAUGAGUUAGCCAAUUCUUUGAGGGAGCAAUUGAAGAUCAAGAAGGCUUUCUCCCCAGUACGCUGCAUCUAUAGAGUCCCGGAACGAUUGCGGAAGUUAAAUGAACAGGCAUAUACACCUCGAGUAGUCUCAAUAGGCCCUAUUCACCAUGGUAAGGAAAAUCUAAAAGCUAUGGAAGACCACAAAAAAAUGUACCUGCA